CUGAGAAAAGGACUGAGAGCAGGACUCAGAAUGCUCUUUGAAGUGCCGGACUAGACAGCUGGUUGUUGGGUCACCAUUUGAGGCCAAAGAUCUCUGAGGGUAACAGCAGACCGAGAGAUUUCCAGAUUGGAGUGUGGACUUGUGCUGGAGAAGAAAUUUGAAAGAGUUGGAGGCAGUAGCGUCAAGGCAGCCCAGGGCAAGAGCAGCAGCACUUAUCUGUGAGUCAGGAGUCCCGGAUGCAGCUCUCACCAUGUGGCUUUGAUCUGCCUGCUCAUAGCAAGAUUGCAUUUUCUGCUCCUCCAAGCUGCAAACCUCCUGAGAAAGGCAAGAGAACACUGGAUACGUGAAAGGAAAAGUUAGAAGCUGAUGUGUCUGAGGACAUUUUCUGGGAAGACAACUCAACAUGGAGCUCUUGUAUACCCUAUGCCAUCAUUCUAACAGAGAAGCAGCAAAUAUGUGACCCUGAAAAUAAGAGUUAGCUGAAGCCACCAAUCUAUCCCCCUGGUGACUCUGGUAGGAAUGGACAGUGGCAUCAAAACUCUCUUUUUUCAGGGCACCUGGGUGGCUCAGUUGGUUAAGCAUCCGACUUCGGCUCAGGUCACGAUCUCACGGUUUGUGAGUUCGAGCCCCACGUCAGGCUCUGUACUGACAGCUCAGAGCAUGGAGCCUGCUUUGGAUUCUGUGUCUCCCUCUCUCUCUGCCCCUCUCUCUUUUUUAACUGUGUAUUUGAUAUAUGUCAAAUAGCUUGGCUCUGUAUGUGAAACUGACUUAAAUCACUCACAGGCAAUGGUUUUUCAUCUCUGAAUAUAAAUCUGCUCCUAUCAAUGCUUUGCUUGAGCAUCACCUGAUUCUUCAUUAGCAUUUUAACCCCUGAUUCACAGGAGAUAAAAAAGCAGGUCCGAAAAAUAACUAUUUGCUGAAAUUUGGCAGCUAGUAGGGGGUGAACAAAAAUGCUUCCUUGGGACAUAACUUCAUCCCAACAUUUAGGGUGAAUCAACCUUCCCGAGUUGUUUUAAGCGUAACAUUUUGUCAAUAAAAGGAGGAAUUACUUACAGUGGUAGAAUUCUUUUCUCUGCAAAAGGGCAGUUGGUAUUCCCAUUCAUUUCCUGUA